rnacentral:tRNA from 1 species
GGCGGUGUAGCUCAGCUGGCUAGAGCGUUCGGUUCAUACCCGAAAGGUCGGGGGUUCGAACCCCUCCGCCGCUACCA